rnacentral:misc_RNA from 1 species
GAUGAAGAACGUAGCGAAAUGCGAUAAGUAGUGUGAAUUGCAGAAUUCAGUGAAUCAUCGAAUCUUUGAACACACAUUGCGCCCUUUGGUAUUCCAAAGGGCAUGCCUGUUCGAGCGUCAUUUGUACCCUCAAGCUUUGCUUGGUGUUGGGCGUCUUGUCUCUAGCUUUGCUGGAGACUCGCCUUAAAGUAAUUGGCAGCCGGCCUACUGGUUUCGGAGCGCAGCACAAGUCGCACUCUCUAUCAGCAAAGGUCUAGCAUCCAUUAAGCCUUUUUUUCAACUUUUGACCUCGGAUCAGGUAGGGAUACCCGCUGAACUUAAGCAUAUCAAAAGCGGAGGA